GGCGUGAGGAGCGGCGGGGAGCCGCGGCCGGGGCCGGCUGCGGGUCGGGGCCGGCUGGAGUCCGGGGCCGCCCGGCGGGGCCGGCAGGUCGCUGACUGGAAGCUGUUUUGCAACAGACUGUGCUCUCCCGCACCCGUGAUGCACGUCGGGGCUGUACCUCCCGAAAGGGAAGAAGAAUUAGUAGUUCGGGCCUCCGCAGGCCACCUCAGGCUCGCCUGACCGGAUGGACGGGCCCUGGGCUGGACGGGCGGACGCGCCCCCGCACCGAGAUGGGAAAGAGCCGGAAUCGGGGCCCCCGCCAGGCCCGCCGCCCCCGCAAGAGGGGCGGCUGAGGCCGGGGGUCCCCCGCGGCCCCCUGACGGGCUGACCCGCGGGACGGGAAGGGCCGCCGUCGAU